CGAGGGGUGCAAGCGUUAAUCGGAAUAACUGGGCGUAAAGUGCACGCAGGCGGUUUGUUAAGCCAGAUGUGAAAGCCCCGAGCUCAACUCGGGAACCGCAUUUGGAACUGGCAAACUAGAGUCUUGUAGAGGGGGUAGAAUUUCCAGUGUAGCGGUGAAAUGCGUAGAGAUUGGAAGGAAUACCAGUGGCGAAGGCGGCCCCCUGGACAAAGACUGACGCUCAUGUGCGAAAGCGUGGGGAGCAAACAGGAUU
rnacentral:rRNA from 1 species